rnacentral:pre_miRNA from 8 species
UGUCCGCGUGCUGAUGUGCUGAGGUCAGCUGCUCUGACGAUGUUGCACUACUGUACCAUCCAUUCUAGCAGUGCAAUAGUAUUGUCAUAGCAUUUAGCCUCUGAUAUGCUCAACGCACACAGG